GCUAGAAUGGUGUAGUGGUUUGAGCAUUGGACUACCACUCUAAAGACCAGGAUUUGAAUCCCCGCUCAAACA